rnacentral:rRNA from 1 species
CCCUUAGAUGUUCUGGGCCGCACGCGCGCUACACUGAUGCAUUCAACGAGUCCAACCUUGACCGAGAGGUCCGGGUAAUCUUUGAAACUGCAUCGUGAUGGGGCUAGAUUAUUGCAAUUAUUAAUCUUCAACGAGGAAUGCCUAGUAAGCGUGAUUCAUCAAAUCGCGUUGAUUACGUCCCUGCCCUUUGUACACACCGCCCGUCGCUCCUACCGAUUGAGUGUGUUGGUGAGGAGUUUGGAUUGGCCUCGGAAGGUGGUUCGCCACCGUCCGUAGCUGAGAAGUUCUCCAAACCGCCCCACUUAGAGGAAGGAGAANUCGUANCA